rnacentral:tRNA from 1 species
AUCUGGGUAACUCAGAGGUUAGAGUGAAAGACUGAAAAUCUUUAAGUCGAUGGUUCAAAUCCGUCUCCAGAUA